GCGGGAGUAGCAUAACGGCAAUGCACUAGGCUUCCAACCUAGCGAAGCGGGUUCAAUUCCCGUCUCCCGCU
rnacentral:tRNA from 1 species